AAUUAGUGGCAGACGGGUGAGUAAUGCAUAGGAAUCUACCUAGUAGUAUAGGAUAGCCACUAGAAGUGGUGGGUAAUACUGUAUAAUCCCUGCGGGGGAAAGAUUUAUCGCUACAUGAUGAGCCUAUGUUAGAUUAGCUAGUUGGUGGGGUAAUGGCCUACCAAGGCAGUGAUCUAUAGCUGGUCUGAGAGGAUGAUCAGCCACACUGGAACUGAGACACGGUCCAGACUCCUACGGGAGGCAGCAGUGGGGAAUAUUGGACAAUGGGCGCAAGCCUGAUCCAGCUAUGCCGCGUGAGUGAGGAAGGCCUUAGGGUUGUAAAACUCUUUCAGUGGGGAAGAUAAUGACGGUACCCACAGAAGAAGUCCCGGCAAACUCCGUGCCAGCAGCCGCGGUAAUACGGAGGGGGCAAGCGUUGUUCGGAAUUAUUGGGCGUAAAGGGCAUGUAGGUGGUUUGGUUAGUUAAAGGUGAAAUGCCAGGGCUUAACCCUGGAGCUGCUUUUAAUACUGC
rnacentral:rRNA from 1 species